UACGUAGGGUGCGAGCGUUAAUCGGAAUUACUGGGCGUAAAGUGUGCGCAGGCGGCGCUGCAAGUCGAGUGUGAAAUCCCCGAGCUUAACUUGGGAAUUGCGCUCGAAACUACGGCGCUGGAGUAUGGCAGAGGAAGGUGGAAUUCCACGUGUAGCGGUGAAAUGCGUAGAGAUGUGGAGGAACACCGAUGGCGAAGGCAGCCCCCUGGGUCAAGAUUGACGCUCAUGCACGAAAGCGUGGGGAGCAAACAGG
rnacentral:rRNA from 1 species